GUCCACUUGGCUCAACUGGUAAGAGGGAUGACUGGUACGCAAUAGGUCAGGGGUUCGACCCCCGGAGAGGUAA